CGACUCGCACGCAUGUCAGACUCCUUGGUCCGUGUUUCAAGACGGGUCGGAUGGGGAGCUCGCAGGCCGUUGCAGCGCAGCGCCCCGAGGGGCGCGCCUUGCGGCGCGCGGAGACCGGCCGUGCCGACGACGGCGACCGGAGGCACCUAGGGCCCCCGGGCUUAGGCCGCCGGCACGGCCGACAACAGUCCACGCCCCGAGCCGAUCGGCGGACCAGCAGAAGCCGUUCCGCAUACGACCGGGGCGCAUCGCCAGCCCCCAUCCGCUUCCCUCCCGGCAAUUUCAAGCACUCUUUGACUCUCUUUUCAAAGUCCUUUUCAUCUUUCCCUCGCGGUACUUGUUCGCUAUCGGUCUCUCGCCUGUAUUUAGCCUUGGACGGAGUUUACCGCCCGAUUUGGGCUGCAUUCCCAAACAACCCGACUCGUUGACGGCGCCUCGUGGUGCGGCAGGGUCCGGGCCGGACGGGGCUCUCACCCUCCCAGGCGUCCCUUUCCAGGGAACUUGGGCCCGGUCCGUCGCUGAGGACGCCUCUCCAGACUACAAUUCAGGUGACGAAGCCACCCGAUUCUCAAGCUGGGCUGGUCCCGGUUCGCUCGCCGUUACUAGGGGAAUCCUUGUAAGUUUCUUCUCCUCCGCUUAUUUAUAUGCUUAAACUCAGCGGGUGGUCCCGACUGACCUGGGGUCGCGGUCCGAGCAACGAUGUGCUGCGGUGCCCGAAGGGUCCUUAGGGCCGAUGCACCGGCCACGUGUCGGGGCGCUGCACCGAGAACAACUAAGUGUCGCCCACCACGUGCUGUGCCCGACACGAAUCGCCGGCAGCCCCAACUUCGGCCCACCGCGCCAUGCGGCACGGGGAGCCAAAAACCACAUCCCUCCCCGAGGGUGGGUUGGGAGUGUCUGUUGGCGUGACGCCCAGGCAGACGUGCCCUCGGCCGGAAGGCCUCGGGCGCAACUUGCGUUCAAAAACUCGAUGGUUCGCGGGAUUCUGCAAUUCACACCAGGUAUCGCAUUUUGCUACGUUCUUCAUCGAUGCGAGAGCCGAGA